rnacentral:rRNA from 1 species
GAUGAACGCUGGCGGCGUGCUUAACACAUGCAAGUCGAACGAACAGAGGGAAAGAGCUUGCUCUUUCCGGAAUCGAGUGGCAAACGGGUGAGUAACACGUAACCAACCUGCCUGCAGGGUGGGGACUACAGACGGCAGCGACUGCUAAUACCGAAUAAGUUCCAAGCACCGCAUGGCCCAUGGAAGAAAAUGUGCCCUCUCUCUGUAAGCUAUCGCCUGAAGAGGGGCUUGCGUCUGAAUAGCUGGGUGGAGGGGUAACGGGCCACCAAGGCGACGAUCAGUAGCCCGGCUGGGGGGGUGGACGGCCAAACUUGGACUUAGACACGGGCCCAGCUCCUACCGGGGGGCGCAGUUGGGGAUCUUUCACAAAGGGCGGAAGGCUUACGGAGCAACGGCGCGGGGGGUGUGGCGGCCUUCCGGUUGUAAAACUCUGUGAACCGGGACGGAAAGGCAGAGUGCGAAGAACUACCUGCAUUGACGGUACCGGAAAAGAAAGCCACGGCUAACUACGUG